AGAGUUUGAUCCUGGCUCAGGAUGAACGCUGGCGGCGUGCUUAACACAUGCAAGUCGAACGAUGAUCCGGUGCUUGCACCGGGGAUUAGUGGCGAACGGGUGAGUAACACGUGAGUAACCUGCCCUUAACUCUGGGAUAAGCCUGGGAAACUGGGUCUAAUACCGGAUAUGACUCCUCAUCGCAUGGUGGGGGGUGGAAAGCUUUUUUGUGGUUUUGGAUGGACUCGCGGCCUAUCAGCUUGUUGGUGAGGUAAUGGCUCACCAAGGCGACGACGGGUAGCCGGCCUGAGAGGGUGACCGGCCACACUGGGACUGAGACACGGCCCAGACUCCUAUGGGAGGCAGCAGUGGGGAAUAUUGCACAAUGGGCGCAAGCCUGAUGCAGCGACGCCGCGUGAGGGAUGACGGCCUUCGGGUUGUAAACCUCUUUCAGUAGGGAAGAAGCGAAAGUGACGGUACCUGCAGAAGAAGCGCCGGCUAACUACGUGCCAGCAGCCGCGGUA
rnacentral:rRNA from 1 species